CCUGCGAGAAAAGUCAAUUGGUGAGAGGUGAUCGGUGACUGGGUGACUGAGGGGGAGAGACUAACAACAGUGUUAAGUGACAAAACAACAUAAAGGACGAGCAAGCUGGUGCGGAUGUGAGCGUCAUGGAUCAGGGGGUGGUACGCAUGCAACACCGAACCGGACCCGAUAGCUCCUCCUCCGGAUAGCGACCUUUGCACCAGAGGGGAUAAACACUGACAAAGUGGCGUUGUGG